rnacentral:misc_RNA from 1 species
UGUGGGAGCGAGCCUGCUCGCGAUAGCGGUGGGUCAGUCAACAUCAUCGUCGACUGUUGCAUUGCUAUCGCGAGCAGGCUCGCUCCCACA